GGUCCGUCCCGGGGCUGUGGUCCGUCCCGGCUGUGGUCCGUCCCGGGGGCUGUGGUCCGUCCCGGGGGCUGUGGUCCGUCCCGGGGGCUGUGGUCCGUCCCCGUCCCUUCCCUCAUGGCGUCUGUCCUGCUCCCCUCCUCCCAGAUGGACAGCCCCGGCUACGAGACGGAGCGCCUCUACACGGAGGUGACCUCGCUCUGCAGCCGCGUCCAGCUGCUGCCCUGCACCACCGCCAAGGACUGCCUGGCCCAGUCCGGUAAGACCCGCUCCCACCGGCCAGAACCGGCCGCUCGGUCAGACCCACAAUGCAACAGUGGGUGACCGACUGCGGCCGGGCGCUUUUCUUUGGGGGAUUGACGUCCGGUUUUGCAUGCCGCUUCUUCUUUCAGUCUACGUCAUUGUUUUUUCAUAGAUGAAACUCCCUCCUACCGGGUUUUCUCUUUGUUGCACAUAUUAUGGGAUGGUUUUAGCUCGCUGAAUCUGACAACAUGAUUAUAAAUGGGCCUAGCGUAUGUGCAGGUAAUAUGGUGAGAAGAUCAACAUGAAGUGGGUGGUGCUAACACUUAACUUGAGAUGGCCAAGCGCGUGGCCAACAUCCUGCGGGUGGUGCUGAGCCUGCAGCAGGCCGAGGAGGGGGGCGCCGACCCCCUCCUCCAGCCGCCCCACGCCAAGCUGACGGCCCUCAUCACGCGGCUGCCCAUGCCCGAAGACUAUGCCCUGGAGGAGCUGCGCGGGCUCACCCAGUCCUACCUCAGGCACCUCAUCGACGUCCAGUGACGCGGACCAACGCAGGAAGACACGGGUGUGUCCUGACACCCGGGCACAGUGAACGGCUACGGCGCCUUUUUCCUUUUUUCUUUCUUUUUUUUAAAAAAAGGGGCCGCGGAGGAGGAUUGUUGAGGUUGACGUGAUGCAACACGGGCAUGCCCUUGCACUUAACAGGACGCAAGUCAACAUGGGAACGACUCAGUCAGAAAGCGUCGUGCUGGGGGCGGGGGGAUUUGGGGAUGGGGGGGUGAUGCUGACAGGCGUGUCUGGGGAGAAACGGCCGCUGAGUCCGGGAACUACCACCAAAUCAUGCAGAACCAAGGACCCUUUUGGAUUCGGAGAUCGUCUUGACACGUCGGCCAUGAUUGUUCUGUGUCGUCUUCGGAGUAGGGGUGAGGGGUGAGGGGGCAUGUGGCGACCAGAUCGGACCGAUGGAAAGGUUAGGGAUGGACGCUGAAGACUCAAGACUACUGCCCCGACUCUUAUACAGCCGCUUGGAUAUGGUGUCUCUGUUGCCAUGUGAUGGAAAUAUGUUGUAUACCUAUCAUUCCGUGUGUGUGUGUGUGUGUGUGUGUGUGUGUGUGUGUGUGUGUGUGUAUGUUUCGUGAAUGCAAAAAAAUUAAAUCUUGUUAUUCAUUAGAAUGGCGAGCUGUUUUUAGUUCAUUAAAGUAUAUUUUCAUUUUCCCACAUAGCUCCCCAGAAUGUUUCGAUUGGCCUGUUGGUUGAGUUGCGUGUGUUUUGUUGCACCGGAGGAUGCAUGUUUAGUGUGCGUGUGUGUGUGUGUAAGCCAAGCAUUUAAAUGACUUUAAAUACGGUUAUAUGGUUUGACUCAACAAGACACUUGGCCCACAUGAUGAUGAAAGGAACACGAUCGGAUUUCUUUGUCAAUAUGUGAAUAGCGAUGAUCUAUCUUUCUAUAGAGAAUAACUCUUGUAUAAAGACAAUUGGACAACUUGCGAUGUUUAUGCUUUUGGAUGUUUCCGAGGAGACUCAGUAAAAAUUGUAAAAUGCGGAAAGGUCUAUUUUUGUAGGGUUUUUCUUACUCUUUGGGUGUGCAUGCCCUAGCCAGGAAGGAACUUUGUGCAGUUCUAGAGAAUGAUUUGACGUAAGGUUUCUAUUGUAUAUUGAACAUACACUUUUGAGUUUCAUUCCAUCAGUGUGUUCAUUAUAUAUAACAUUGCAAUGCGUGUUGUGACGUUUGACUUUCAGAAGGUACAACUGGGCUUUUAAACAGCGGCUGUCUGCGAUGUAUUUACACUUCAGACACGGCCAUUUGUACUGAACGCCUCAAAGGGUGUUCGUUGGAUAGCAUCCUGAAGUGUCAUUCUAAUUGCUGAUGUAGUGUUGUCAUAGAUACCUGCCGACAAGUCUUUAGUUUGUCUGAAAUGACAGAUCAGAUUUUUUUUUUUUCUUUGAGAUGUGUGUGUGUUAAGAAAUCCUCACUCGCAGAAUAUUGAUGCACACAGUGCCUUUCCCGUAUUGAAUCUCUAAAGUGUGUUGCUCCGUGUGUGUGUGUGUGCGUAUGGUUUUAAUAAAGUGAAUUAAAGUGUAAAAGUGACCUUUUGAAGUUGGUGUAUUUGUGACGUCUAGGAUUCAAGUAGUUCACCAAGAAAAUGGUCUAUUAAGAAUUUUUUACAAAAACUUGAGGUGGAGGUUAAUAAAUAUAGAACUAUAUUCCAUAAUUGCUCUAAGAAAACUUUUCUCCAAACCGCUCUGAAUGUGACCAUUAAAGGGAUCUUAUUGCACCACCAG
ensembl:lncRNA